AAAAGAUUACCAGAAAUGAUCAACAGGAGCAAAAAAGAGUGAAAAAGGUUCACACUGGUUACUGGAGCUCUUAUCUACAGUAACAAAAAAAAACAAAAAACAGUAAAGCAGCUUGUAAGGUGGCCUGGACCAAAACUUUCUAGUCUUCAGUCCUGCCCAGGAUGUAUAGAAUCACAGAGCUGGAAGGGGGUCUUUGGAGGUCUUUUAGUCCAAUCUUCUGCACAAGGUGCUCACAAACCCGCUGGUUGAUUAGCUUUUCCAGGAUUUUUCCAAGUAUUGAUGUCAAGCUGAUUGGUCUGUAGUUUUCUGGAUCCAGCUUUUCCUGUUUUUUAAAGAUUGGAACCACAUCAGCUUGCUUCCAGUCCUCUGGAGAUUCCCCCAUGCCUCAGGAUCUCUGAAAGAUUUUGUUCAGUUCCAAGAUUACAUUUGCCAGCUCUUUAGAGACCAUUAUUCCUACAUAUUUCAUUCAAGUUCAUCAAAAAGAAUACAGAAACUUGUUUCUUUCCAAGAAGAGUCAAAAUGCAGCAAUACCAAAUAUGGGAGUGACAGAAAGCACUCAAAACCAAUGUUUUCCAGAUCAUGGAAAUGGGAUGGAAACCUAAUGGGAUGGAAACCUAAUUAUACCAUUUUCAAAUUCCUAAUGCUGAAACAAGUCCCAGAGCAAAUCCUGUAGCAAAAACAAAACAGAGACUUCCCUUAAAUCAUUUUACCAUUUCAUAAAAUACUAGCUUUCUGGGAUAUGAUCAAUACAUCCCAGUUCUUUGGAAGAAACCACACUGUUGGAACAGGAAGAGGAGUUUGUUGAAUGCAUCCUGUAUGUCACAUUUAUCUUCAAAUCCUUCUAGAUGAAGGAACAAAGAGUGCUUCCAUCAGCGAGUGCAUCUUUCAGUAUUAGCCUACUUUCUGAAAUUAAUUACUCAUUCAAAUGGAUCAGGACAUCUCUGAUUUGAAGCCAUCCAUUCUUCAGCUGUGCUUCUUGACAAGGCCAAGUCAAUUGGAUGCUCACUGUAGCUUUGUGAUUGUUCACCCAAGGCUGAUGUGACAUUUCUUUCUUUCCCUUUUUGACAACCAUAGAACGCUUUGGCAAUA